AAUGAACGUUGGCGGCGUGGAUUAGGCAUGCAAGUCGAGCGAGAACCCGCAAGGGGGACAGCGGCAAACGGGGUAGUAACGGGUAGGCAACGUACCCUCGGGUCGGGGAUAGCCACGGGAAACUGUGGGUAAUACCCGAUAAUCUCUGCGGUGGUAAGUACCGCAGAGCAAAGGUGUGAUUCCACCGGAGGAGCGGCCUGCUUCGUAUUAGCUUGUUGGUGAGGUAACGGCUCACCAAGGCGACGAUGCGUAGGGGGUGUGAGAGCAUGACCCCCACCACUGGGACUGAGAUACUGCCCAGACACCUACGGGUGGCUGCAGUCGAGAAUCUUCGGCAAUGGGCGCAAGCCUGACCGAGCGACGCCGCGUGUGGGAUGAAGGCCCUUGGGUUGUAAACCACUGUCAGAGGGGAUGAAGUGCACGAGAGCUAUCUCUUGUGCUUGACAUAGCCUCAGAGGAAGCACGGGCUAAGUUCGUGCCAGCCGCCGCAGUAAAAC
rnacentral:rRNA from 1 species